UCCCGGCAGGGAAAUGUAGGAGGCCGCAGCUGUCCAGGAGCUGGCUCCAGGAGCCCCAGAUUAGACUCAAGGUGAAGUUGGCCCCACCUGGCUGAUCCCAAGGAGCGGCUGGUCCCCUAUCACUUCUCCAACCCUCAGCCUGGAUGUAGGAGGAGGCUGGCCUCCGUGUUGGUGAGAGCUGCCCAGUGGGGUUUUCCUCUGCAGAAGGAAAAGUGAUUAACCAGAUAAGUGAGGAAAGAAUAACAUGAUUCUGCCUUUAAGUCACAUCAACCCAGGACAAAGAAAUGAAAUGUCCCCCUACCCAGCCAUGAUGGAGUCUAACAUGCUGUGGAAAUGAACGAUCACGGUUUACCUUGUGAGUUAUUGUUUUGUCACUUGUCCUACACCAUGUGCUAUGUUACAAGCUCCUUGCAAACAGCGUGCAUCUUAUCCAUCUGUGUCCACUUGCAGUGUCCCCUCUGCCCAGAAAUGUGGCUGGUGCUGCUCACGGCACACUCACAACACAGCAGGUGGGGAGAACCAGGGACCAGACUUGAACCUCUCUUCACAACUGGAAUGUUAGCCCCAGGUUUCCAUAGGGAAUAAAACUUUUACUCCCCAAGACAUAAUAGUUUGAGAGGAAUGCUUCCAGCCCUUUCCCCAUGCUCCUUCUCUGGAACCACUUUCCUGACUGCUGAGGGUGAGGAGCCUUUGGGCAGAGUGACUCUGAGCCUCCUGGGUUUCUCCCUUAAAAGGGGUUCUCAGGCAUGCAUUCUUUCUCUGCUAGGGGCCAAAUGUGGGCUCAGGCAUUUGUUGCCUGGCGUAGCCUCCAGACUGGCCCCACAGCUCCUGCGUCCUGGAAUUCACGUCUUCUAGGUACCAUCUUCCCAUAUGGAACAAAGCUGACAUGUGUGACCAAUAGGAGAGGGCAGGAGUGAUGUUGUGUGGCUUCUGAGCCCAGGUCACAGAAGACAUUGCAGCUUCUGCCUUAGUCUCUGGGAUGACUCAUUCUGGGGGACGCCAGCUGCCAUUUCACAAGGACACUAGUCCUGGGCUCAGUUGCAUCCCCCUCCCAAUUAACAUGUUGAAAUUCUAACCCCCAGCACCUCAUAAUGUGACUGGAUUUGGAGACAGGGUCUUUAAAAAGAUAAUUAAGGUAAAAUGAGGUCAUCAGGGGGGCCCUGAGCCAAUGCGACUGGUGUCCUUAUGAAAAGAGGAGAUAAGGACACAGCUGCACAGAGGGAAGAUCAUGUGAAGACACAGAGAGCAGAUGCCAUCUACAGCCAAGGAGAGACACCUCAGAAGAAACUAAUCCUGUGGACACAUUGAUCUCAGACUUCUGGCUUCCAGAAUUAUGAGAAAAUUAAUUUUUGGUUAAGUCCCCAGUCUUUGGUACUUUGUUUUGGCAGCCUGAGCUAACUAAUGCAACACUCAAGCAGCCCUGUGAGAGGUCCACGUGGAGAGGCACCAACUGUGAGUCCUGUGCGUGAGCCACCUUGAGAGCAGAUCCUCCUGCCUCAGUCAAGCCUUCAGAUGAUUCCAGCCUCCCAGCCUUAAAUCUCCAGCUGAGGCUCAGACGC
ensembl:lncRNA